GGUGAUUGAACAGUAAGAUUCACGUGCUUUUUACUUCACCAGAAAUCUUCGACAGAUUGCCCGUAAUUUCCGCAAAGCUGAUUGUGCAUGUGACAGGUGCUGACGAGGCUGAAAAAGCAGGUGCUUCUUCGAUUUCUGAGAUCGGCCCUCAUGGUCUCUGAGCAGCCCAGCUUUUGAGAAAGCAAACGCCUCUUCGAUUU
rnacentral:lncRNA from 1 species